UCCGUAGUAAAAUAUGAGACUUGGGCGUAUGCCCGGAAUCAAAUUCUGAUGCCCCUAGCCUGAGAAAAGAAUUUUUAAAGAAAAUUAUUUGCUGGAAAAUAUAAAGACUUUUGGAAAUGAAAUGGUAUGUGUUCUUGAUAUUAUCGGGCCCGUAUUUUUAGUUCCAGAGCAUGGUACAGGUUUAAAAUAAUAUUUAAGUCGAAUCUGUGAAAUUUGGUAAGAAUCGGAGUUGAUUUGAUAUAAAUCGGACCUUAGGUUGAGAAAAUAGAAAAUUUGAACAAUCUUAUAAAUUUCAUGAAUUUGAGGUUAAAUUCAUAGUUGUUGAUGUUAUUUUGAUGAUUUAAUCGCACGAGCAAGUCCGUAUGAUUUUUUGGACUUGAAAGAAAUCGAUGAUUUUUGCAAAAGAGGUUCGAGAACAGUGUAAAACAUAGAAGGAGCAGACACGAAUCAUUUAAAAAUAGCCCAGAUCUAAGAGAUACAAACGAAAAUCAGGGUUUCAAAAGAAACUCAAAUAGAGAUGGAAGAACCUGCUUAGAACUUCAAAGAUCUUAACCAAUAUAGUGUGAUUUUGCUCAAAAUCACACUAGAGAAGCCAUGAACAGCCAAAACAGCAACCCUAGAGGGUGGUCACCGAAGAAGACCGGAGAAGGGAGGCGGUUGAAAAGGAUUUAGGGUUAGGUUGAUAGAAGAGAGGAGAUGAGAGCAUUUGAAGGCG
rnacentral:lncRNA from 1 species